GCAGUGGUGGAGCAGUUGUAGAAUUCUUACCUUCCAUGUGGGAAACCCAGGUUCAAUUCCUGGCCAAUGCA
rnacentral:tRNA from 1 species